GCGCCCGUAGCUCAGUCCGGAUAGAGCGUUGGUCUCCGGAACCAAAGGUCGUGUGUUCGAAUCACACCGGGCGUA
rnacentral:tRNA from 1 species